AUUGAACGCUGCGGGAUCCUUACACAUGCAAGUCGAACGGCAGCACGGACUUCGGUCUGGUGGCGAGUGGCGAACGGGUGAGUAAUGUAUCGGAACGUGCCCAGUAGCGGGGAUAACUACGCGAAAGCGUAGCUAAUACCGCAUACGCCCACGGGGGAAAGCAGGGGAUCGCAAGACCUUGCACUAUGGAGCGGCCGAUAUCGGAUUAGCUAGUUGGUGGGGUAACGGCUCACCAAGGCGACGAUCCGUAGCUGGUUGAGAGGACGACCAGCCACACUGGGACUGAGACACGGCCCAGACUCCUACGGGAGGCAGCAGUGGGGAAUUUGGACAAUGGGGGAAACCCUGAUCCAGCCAUCCCGCGUGUGCGAUGAAGGCCUUCGGGUUGUAAAGCACUUUUGGCAGGAAAGAAACGUGCAUGGGCUAAUACCCCGUGAAACUGACGGUACCUGCAGAAU
rnacentral:rRNA from 1 species